GGGGUGAGCGUGGCUGCACCUGUCCUAGACCUCACUGGGGAAGGGUCUCUGAUUGGAGAUCCCUCCCUUGUGGAGUUUCUCUUGUGAGCCUACGUCUUCAGAGAUGGUGCAACCAUAACUCUGAUAUGGGCUUCAACAGAGAUGGAAGUGCUACUUUCCUUUUGCUCCAACAUAAGCUGAAUUUGAAAUGCCACCACCCUUCUAGCUUCUGAGAGGGUAACUUCAUGCAAAUAACAAGUCCUUCUGCUCUCACUGUUUGUUUGGAAGUGACUUCGUGGGCCAGUCAUAGAUUGCUCCGCAUUGAAUUGUGAUGUAUCUCAAGAUAUCUACAGAAUAACAGCAGAACUUCCAGAGGACUUGCUGCCCCAGAUCUGCUCAGGAAACAACACAGUGCUUAAAAAGCAGAGAAGCACCUGUAGUUUAAGAGGAUGGAAAAUCUGCAUCAAUCUGUGCCAUGGAACACAAGUAUGAAUGGAUCAUGAAUAAUUUCAAACGAGCAAGAUUUGAGACUGUGGCCAAUUUCCUCAAAUAAAUAACUGACUGUAGGAUAUGACUGAGCAGUUUAGAACCUGGCAGCAGAGUGGUAAGGCUAAAGGGCUGUUUUUCCCCUUUUUUUUUUUUCUUUCUUCCAAUUGUGUGGCUGCAGUGAAAAAUUGAGAACAGUUUCACUUUGCUCAAACAAAAAAUGAAGUGACUUGUAAAGUAUGUAUUGCACCAACGUUUUAUUUGCUAUGAAACAUCUAUGCCAUGAUGCAGAAUUUAAGACAUUUACAACCUGAUAUAAUAAUUAAACUAAGCUGUCUAAACCUGUUAUUGAGAAGGUAUUGCCAGAGGCUGUUGUGUGAUAGCAGUGAUAGUGUAGGAGCAGAUGUAACAUCUGUGUGUGGAAUCACCCCAUUGCUCACUGCAGUGACUUUAGUUAGCACUCCCAUCUGUGCCUGCCUUAAGAUUUUAUUUCACUCAAGUGAAAAUCACCCAAGCCCACCAAAAUGCUGAUGAGUUUGGGCUAAGCA